AACCUAGAAGGUGGAGACAGAAGAUCAGACGUCACCGCAAAAAAGGAAAGUGAUGGAGAAGUCAACACUAAACCUGAGAAAUCCUACAGACAAACCCAACACAGGACCGGAUCCGGAACUAAAUAUCCUGCUGUGACAGAAACAAAAAGCUGUAUUAUGAGAGGGGGAAAAAAAGUCCCUGGACUUCUUGUAAUCCUUCACACAGGCUGUCACAUCAGCGGGAGGCAGUCACUGCACAAAAGCACCUGUUCUCUCUACAGGGUCCUCAUCAGCGCUUUUCAAAUACAAGGUGCAGAACUGGAAUCUUCUGCUCCAUUACCCCUCUGCUCCACACUUCUCUUACACCGUGAAAAGAAAAAAGAGAAAUUCAGAGGUCAUCACGGCUGCUCCUCUUAAAUGGCUGGGUAAGCCUGGACAAGUUUCUUGACUUCACUGAGCUUCAGAGUUUCCCAUCUGAAAACAGGGAUCAUGGUACUAUCUUAGCAUAGUACCUGGCACACAACUAGGGAGUCAAAGGUAGGCUGUCUUCCCUCCCUCCUGUUCAGAGACCUCGUCCUCAGGCCACAUGGGAGGGACAGGUGGGUCCAGACCUAAAAGGAGCAACCAGUCGUGCCUUCAUGGACAUGGAACACACUACAGUAAAUUCAACACUGCUCAGCGAGAGGCAGCCUCUUGGACAUCAGGAGCAGGAAGAAGGAAGAGGCACACAGAAGCAAAAAUGGAAAGAAGGAUCAGGUCUGGGCACCGAUGUGGAAGUAAUGUGACGAGUACUGAAGACAUUUGUAUCUAUUACCUCAGCAAUCCUAAUUCUCUAAUGUCAUAAUAAAGAGAAAAUAAAAAUGAGAAAAAUAUAGAUUAGUCACACCAUUCGUUAUAGUAACACUGUAAUCGCAAAACUCCAACUUUGGGGAAGUAUUAAAUAAUUCAGAGUAUACUCACAAUCUUGCGUUGAAAAUUAGAUUCACCAAGAGAUUUUAGUGAUGUGGAAUGACGCACAGGAUUCUUGGACCAGGUCUAAAACCACUGAUAUACUCUGAAGUCUGUGACCAUGUGUGAGUGUGUGAGUAUGCCACAAGGUCAUCAACAAUAAUAUUAAAAAUUAAUUCUGUUUACGGUUUCUGUUUUAGAAGUUUUUGUUAACAUUAUAUCCUAUACUUUAUCCAGAAAAGUAAUAUUUAGGAAGUUACAAGUGUGUUAACAGGGCCAAUUAGGUCAUUCCCAUCACGCUGCUAUGCCCAUGAAGCCCUGAUUCAGUGGUCAGCUCUAUUCUUUUCACCAGAUUUUAAAGAAAUCGAUAACCUAAAUUUUAAACUCGCUUUCCUCCAAGGUUCUCUAGACUUUGUAGACAAUGAUAAAUGGCUACCUGAUUUCACAAAGAGAAGCUAAGACG